CUUUUCAUCUCAUCUACUCGGCGUUGUUGUGCGGUGGUUCCGUCGGUGAAACCCUAAUUUCUGAUAACAUCCGCUUAACCUAGCUUGGUUUGUAGUUCGGAUGGCAUCUGCAUCUAGCCAGCCUCAGUUUCGAUACACACAACCCCCAUCAAAGGUCCUUCAUUUGAGAAACUUACCAUGGGAGUGCACAGAGGAGGAGCUGAUCGAAUUGGGAAAACCUUUUGGUAGAGUUGUGAAUACCAAGUGUAAUGUAGGAGCAAACCGAAAUCAAGCAUUUAUAGAGUUUGCAGAAUUAAAUCAAGCCAUUGCAAUGAUAUCGUACUAUGCCUCUUCCUCUGAACCAGCUCAGGUACGGGGGAAAACCGUCUACCUACAAUAUUCCAACAGGCAAGAGAUAGUGAACAACAAAACUACAGCAGAUGUAGCUGGAAAUGUGUUGUUGGUUACAAUUGAG
rnacentral:misc_RNA from 1 species